GGGGUCGUUACGGAUUCGACAGGCAUUAUGAGGCUUGUUAUGCAACUCAUCGGCAGAUGUAAAAUUGCCAGUUAAAUAUAACUGCAAAAAAUACAAACUCUUACGCAUUAGCAGCCUAAACACCUGCGUGCGUGACCUGACAUAGAUUGCUUGUGUUUGUCGUUAGGUCUUAAAAUAACAAGCUACGUUGGUUUAUUGUCUAGCUAAAUCAAAAGAGAUUCAUAGACUCGCUGACUGAAGAGUUGAGUUAUGUCUCGUCAGUUCAGUUAAAGGAAAUGCAUAACCUAUAGUUGUAGACGAAUAAGUUAGCAGGUGUUUGGACGUGGGUUCGACUCCCACCGGCUCCAUGA
rnacentral:tmRNA from 1 species